ensembl:snRNA U6 U6 spliceosomal RNA
AUAUUUCAUUGGCCAGCAUAGAUAUAAAAUUGAACUACAUAGAAAAGAUUACCUUGACCAGUGCAUAAGAAUGACAGGGAAAUUCAUCAAGUGUUCCAUAAUUUU